GCCUGGGUGGCUCAGUCGGUUGGGCGUCUGACUUUGGCUCAGGUCAUGACCUUGUAGUUCGUGGGUUCGAGCCCCGCGUCGGGCU
rnacentral:tRNA from 1 species